AGACUGAAUGAGGUCAUGGAAAUGAAGUGUUUAACAACAUGGCUGACCACUGAGGAUGACAGGAAACCCUGAGCUCUUGCUACUGUUGCUAGUCUUUGUUACCUAAUUAUGUGCUAAGAGGAUUUAAGGUCACCUAGGAGACAGACGUCUGGGCACGUCUGUGAGGAAGUUUCUAGACUGUUUUGACCAACCUUAACUGUGGGCAGCAUCACGUCCGUGGCUGAGGUCCUGGAGAAGCACAUCUGUUGGAACCUACUUCUACA